GGCAGGUCUUCAUGCUGAGAUCCCACCUCUAACACUUCAGUAUCGCCAUCAGUUACCUGACUGCUUGGAACAGCAUCACUUGUUUCAGCAGCUUGCUUAGAGCACUUUGAAGCCCCAUUCCUGUCCAUUCAGCAGCAGCAAGCUGAGUGAUCCUGUGUACUACAGAACAUAAACCUAAUGCUUCAAAGGCCAUUGCCAAAGACCUAAACAGCUCCUGCAAAAGUGCUCUACAGGAGCCCUGAAACAGAAGCAGAAUGAUGAGAAAACAGAUCAGGAAUGGAAACAGACUGGAUUUCUGAAGAUACCGAAUGUGUUAACACUUUGGUAAUACUACUUCUCUACAUAAACAGCUGCCACUGCUGCUGUGGAAGUUUUGGAAGCAUGAUGUCCAAAAUUAUCAAUUAGAAGCUUCAUUUAUAACUACCUUGUCAAUCUUUAUUUUUCUUUCAAAUUGUAUUUAUGUGAUAUGCUUUCACCUGCAAUUAGAAAUUUCAACACUUGCUUCAAGACUGAAGAAGUAAGACUAUCCUGUUACAUUUUGGUUCUGGUUUUUGUUUUUAACAGAAACCCACCUGUCUGGCAAGAACAGAAAAGUAACAAUGUAAAAGUGUUGCUGCUUUUCAGAGCCAAAAUUAGAGGCUCUGAACACAGAGCGGUUGAAGAUCUUUUUCUUGGUAAAGAAAGAAUGUUGUUAUUUGUAGAAAAUUGCCUGGCAUUUAAAUACUGUGUUAGAGAAGAUGAGAAAGGCUGUUAGUACUGUCUUGCUCAGAAAUGACAAUACAGAAACAUACAGAAACCAGCAGCAACUGUAUCCAUUUUGUUUUGAUUUUGUCCCUGGAAAUAUAUAGAUCUGAGUAAUACAUCUCUGAAGGUCUUGUUUUUUCCCUUUUCUUUUAAUACUGGACUCCAGUUUUAUUUGUCUGGGACUGAGCACCUGACCUCUGAGGUGAUUGUAAGCUCCUGGGAGAAAUGCCUGUCAGCACAAAAUCCUCACUUCCACUUAAAGAAACCCCAGACUCUUGAUGAGUACUACUCUGCCACAAUAAUCUUAACUGCUAGAUGAAAAAUGACAUUUUAAAAAGAAAGUUUCUAAUAAAACCAAAUUACAUUCUUACUUUCUUGUUUACAUUUCUACAUUUAGGACCAAAAUAUUAGGUAGCUACAAGCUGAGCAUUCAAGUUUUGUUUUCUGUUGCACUAAGGAAUAUUUUACCCUCCCUUUUCCAUUUAAAGGGCUGGCAAUGACUCUGCGUUGAUGCCUGCAGCAGUUGCAAAUUGCCUCGCGUCACUUCUUAAGGACAGCCAAUACCAACACCACGCUAGUCACAUUUCAAAGCAAGAAAUAUUUCCAAAAUAUCUAUGUCAACUAAAAAGGAUUAUCAAAUAUAAACCUCAUGGGUCAAUACAACAACUUGUCAGUUUUUCACCACCCUGGAGAGAUACAAACUUACUUCAAUGCUCUCCUCUCAAUGCCACGUCAGAUGGGACCUCCCAUGCCCUCCCCGAGAGAAAGGACAGGCGUCCCUAUAAAGUGAACCAGGUAAUAGGUGCAGGAGGGUUUGCAGGGAACUGCCCUAGAUAAUAACAGUGCAUCCUGAAGCUGCUUGUUACUUGAGCUGACUUAUCUCUUUAAUUCACGUGCAAAACCGAAAGCUGGUUGUAAGGCCAGUUACUUAAGUUUUGCUCACAGUAAUAAAUCUGGAGCAAUCCCACUGACUGCUAUAAUCCUCAACAAAUACCACUAAAAAGCUAAUCAAGGGCUAAAUCUUCUAGUCUCAUCUGGGUCAAAAUUCCAAACAGCUAUAAUGAGAAUCUCGUCUACAAAGCACUAGGGGGAAUUUAACCCCAUAUUGCUGGAAUGCCUCCAGGGGGAAAAAAAAAAAAA